CAUAGGCACCAAGUUUUGACAAGAAAAACAAAUGUGUGGAAUAAAAAGGACAACAUUUCUGAUUCUACAUCAACUUUUAUCUUUUUUUUUUUUUUUUUUUUUAAAACUGUCCAUCUUGAGUCUGAAGAUGUUACAGGAGAAAAAUGAUGAAUCUGUGGUCUAUUUAAGACAAAGCAGGAAGAGAAACACGGAGAGUCUGUAAGCAAACUGAAUUUCAGCCUGAUUUAAAGCCGGAGUCGUUCUUCACUUCAGAAAGCUAAAUCCUGAACAACGAAGCACAUGGCCUGCAGGUCGACAGGGGAAAGUGUCACGUUCCAGCGCUCGGUGGGAACUGGACACAGGAAGCAGGACGGGGAGCGGAUGACAACAUCUGGAUGUGAUUUCAGAGAGAUGGCAGUGAAAUAUGAAAACACAAAAACCUCAGCUGUUACAGUUUAGACUCUGAGAGCGACAAACAUGUAAAAGCUGCAAGACUCACAGUAACUUUUGUUAAGACUAAAACAUAAAUCUGAGCUCCCAAACCUUUCUUACUCAUAACCCGGUCACAUGGAGCCGUGUCACAGGCUGCGUUGGAUUACAGUCCAACCCUGAACUGGUUCUCACUCUCAGAUUGUUUCAUUUGAAUAGUGUUUAGAGUAAGGAAGCAACUAAUGAUUAUUUUCCUUUUUGAUUGAUU